CCUACGGGAGGCAGCAGUGAGGAAUAUUGGUCAAUGGGCGCUAGCCUGAACCAGCCAAGUAGCGUGAAGGAUGACUGUCCUAUGGGUUGUAAACUUCUUUUAUAUGGGAAUAAAGUGCAGUAUGUAUACUGCUUUGCAUGUACCUUAUGAAUAAGGAUCGGCUAACUCCGUGCCAGCAGCCGCGGUAAUACGGAGGAUCCGAGCGUUAUCCGGAUUUAUUGGGUUUAAAGGGAGCGUAGGCGGGUUGUUAAGUCAGUUGUGAAAGUUUGCGGCUCAACCGUAAAAUUGCAGUUGAUACUGGCAGCCUUGAGUACAGUAGAGGUAGGCGGAAUUCGUGGUGUAGCGGUGAAAUGCUUAGAUAUCACGAAGAACUCCGAUUGCGAAGGCAGCCUGCUGGACUGUAACUGACGCUGAUGCUCGAAAGUGUGGGUAUCAAACAGGAUUAGAUACCCCAGUAGUC
rnacentral:rRNA from 1 species